AACUUAAGCAUAUCAAUAAGCGGAGGAAAAGAAACUAACAAGGAUUCCCCUAGUAACGGCGAGUGAAGAGGGAAAAGCCCAAAUUUGUAAUCUGGCUCUUUCAGAGUCCGAGUUGUAAUUUUAAGAACUGUUUUCCGUGCUGGACCAUGUACAAGUCUGUUGAAAAACAGCAUCAUUGAGGGUGAAAAUCCCGUACAUGAUAUGGACUACCAGUGCAAUGUGAUACAGUCUCUAAGAGUCGAGUUGUUUGGGAAUGCAGCUCAAAGUGGGUGGUAAAUUCCAUCUAAGGCUAAAUAUAGGUGAGAGACCGAUAGCAAACAAGUACCGUGAGGGAAAGAUGAAAAGAACUUUGGAAAGAGAGUUAACAGUACGUGAAAUUGUUAAAAGGGAAACAUUUGAAGUUAGACUUGUUAUUGUUGGUUCAACUUCUUUAUUGAGGUGUAUUCCAAUGGUUAACAGACCAGCAUCAAUUUUUGGGUGUUGGAUAAGGGUUUAGGAAAUGUAGCAACCUUGGUUGUGUUAUAGUCCUUUACUUUGAUACAAUGCUUAGGAUUGAGGAACGCAGUAAGCUUUGUAGCAG
rnacentral:rRNA from 1 species